UCCAGCUAUUUCGCCCAACCCAUAUUAGACUGUGUUAUAAAGACAUGGUAAAUUACAUCACGAAGGGAAGAGCAGAGGAAACAUAAUAUUCCUUCAAGACCCAUCAGCUCAGAUGUUAGCAGAACACUCCUAAGGAGGAAAACAAGAAAUUUUGGGUUUGAACUUGGUACUUCCCAGCAGCCCUGGGAGUGGGGUCAGAAGCCCUGCUGGUGGGGGCGAAGAACUCUGAGGAUCAAAGAUGUUGAUCAUCACCAGGAAGCUCACUGCAGCAAUAAUCAUGAUGCACUGAGCCUGACAAGGAGGUUACUUAUGAGAAACAAGCUUGAAAUCUCUGCACCUGAACCAGCUUCCAGAGGCUUUUGUCCUAACCAGCUGGAUUUGGGGAAGUAAAGGAAACCAGGUAAGAAGGGGCUGAAAGAAUUGGUUUCCACCGUGACCUUUGAACCCUCGGGCGAGUUGUCAACCUCACUGAGGAUGAGUGUCCUCGAUAUCAAACGAGGUCACUUUACUCGCAAGCUUGUUGUGAGGACUGAAUGAAACCUUUUCUUUUUUCUUGGAGUUUCAGAGCAACGUCCCUGAGCCGAGCCCCAC
rnacentral:lncRNA from 1 species